rnacentral:piRNA from 1 species
UGAAUGAAACCAACUCCCCGCUCUUCAUCC